UACAGAGGUCCCGAGCGUUGUUCGGAUUCACUGGGCGUAAAGGGUGCGCAGGUGGGUUUGCAAGUUUGAUGUGAAAGCCCCGGGCUUAACCCGGGAAUGGCAUUGAAUACUGCAGAUCUGGAGGAUCGGAGGGGGGACUGGAAUUCUUGGUGUAGCAGUGAAAUUCGUAGAUAUUGGGAAGAACACCAGUGGCGAAGGCGGCUAACUGGUCCAGCACUGACGCUGAGGUGCGAAAGCGUGGGGAGCAAACAGG
rnacentral:rRNA from 1 species